ensembl:lncRNA
AUUUCAUUUCAUCUCUCGUGUGGGCUGAGAAAAGCUUUUUUACUGGUGCUUUUUACACUGUUUUCAAUGUAACCCCAUCACUCCAGCAACCAGAAAAGGGAAAUGUCUUACAAGGAUCAACUUCCCUCUAACAGAGGACUUGCUAGCUGUAUGCAAAGUCUCAGUGGUUCGGAGCAUUUGCAGGUGCUGGCUUCUCACCGAGCAGGUGUUGAAAAUACCCCACUCAGUGCUGUCAGGAUAUCUGCACAGCCGAGUGGAUGUCUAUUCUAGUAGACAGUUUUAUCGCCCGGUUAAUUGAAAGCAUAUUAAUUUGAGGCUGUUAGCACAUUUGUGAAGAUUACAUCAGGCUUUAUCCAAGUGACUGUGGUUCGGGUGAGAGCUCGGCCUCGGGAGGCCGCUGUCUCCUUGCCUGUACCUCUCCCACCCAGGAGAAGAUGCUGCAGAGUCCCAGCAGGAUGUCUUUCUCUCUUUGGUGAAAGAAAACACAAACCAAAGAACUAUCAUCCAUAUUAUCAACUGCUAUCUUCUGUCCCUUACUGGGCACAUGUAAACCAUGCUAAGAACCAGAGAAUCAUAGAAUAUCCGCAGCUGAAAGGGACCGACAAGGAUCGUUGACUCCAGCUCCUGAGGGUUACACUACAAGGUAUUUUAAGAUUUCAAAGCCAAGCCUUCGAUGACCAGGGAAAAUCAGAACUGAAACAUCUCAUGGGGCCUUUGUGUGCUCCACUUCUAUGCUCCUUUGCACAGCAUUUUUACUCACGUGGGCAUCCAUUCUCCUGUACGUUCCCGUAGAUUGAUUUCAGUGUGACCAGGGCUUUUAAAUACUGUGGGGACUCGGACCCUGUCUGCUUUAAAAAUUCUGCUAGAUGUGUGUUUCUGAGGAGGCUUCUAAGGGCCCCGAUCACCAGGACGUCCCGCUUUACUGGAGCAGAGCUCUCGGCAGCUUCCCGUGCAGCUGUGUGCUGGCAGAGGCCUCCCCGGGGGAGCCACCAGGCCUUGUGAUAAACAUACACAGCUUUGCCUCACAUCCCCCCUUACUGCUCAGGGAUGUUGGUCCCGGCUCCUCGUUUCCCAGAAUGUCCUUCUGUUCUUUCUCUUCUCUGUAACCGCCGUUACAGUCACCAAAUGUCACAGAAUGGCUAAGGCUGGAAGGGAUCUCUGGGUCCACAUCCCUACACAGGCAGGGACACCCAGAGCAGGUUGCCC